GAUGAACGCUGGCGGCGUGCCUAAUACAUGCAAGUCGAGCGAACAGACGAGGAGCUUGCUCCUCUGACGUUAGCGGCGGACGGGUGAGUAACACGUGGAUAACCUACCUAUAAGACUGGGAUAACUUCGGGAAACCGGAGCUAAUACCGGAUAAUAUAUUGAACCGCAUGGUUCAAUAGUGAAAGACGGUUUUGCUGUCACUUAUAGAUGGAUCCGCGCCGCAUUAGCUAGUUGGUAAGGUAACGGCUUACCAAGGCAACGAUGCGUAGCCGACCUGAGAGGGUGAUCGGCCACACUGGAACUGAGACACGGUCCAGACUCCUACGGGAGGCAGCAGUAGGGAAUCUUCCGCAAUGGGCGGAAGCCUGACGGAGCAACGCCACGUGAGUGAUGAAGGUCUUCGGAUCGUAAAACUCUGUUAUUAGGGAAGAACAAAUGUGUAAGUAACUAUGCACGUCUUGACGGUACCUAAUCAGAAAGCCACGGCUAACUACGUG
rnacentral:rRNA from 1 species